rnacentral:rRNA from 1 species
CAGUCGCCACGGGAAUACGUAGGUGGCAAGCGUUGUCCGGAAUUAUUGGGCGUAAAGGGCUCGCAGGCGGUUUCUUAAGUCUGAUGUGAAAGCCCCCGGCUCAACCGGGGAGGGUCAUUGGAAACUGGGAAACUUGAGUGCAGAAGAGGAGAGUGGAAUUCCACGUGUAGCGGUGAAAUGCGUAGAGAUGUGGAGGAACACCAGUGGCGAAGGCGACUCUCUGGUCUGUAACUGACGCUGAGGAGCGAAAGCGUGGGGAGCAAACAGGAUUAGAUACCCCGGUAGUCCCUGUCUCUUAUAC